UUUGUCAUAUCUGUGUUUUAACUUUAUGAUAAUUUGUAUGCAUACGUUUGUUGAAGUAAUGAAUGAUUAAGAAAUAAUGUUGUAGUAGAAAUACUAAUGACAUUCUAAUUGAUAAAUAAAUAAAUAAAUAAUCAAACUUUUAUAUAUAUUUAAAAAAAAUUGGUUUCUUUACAUUAAUUAUAUAUUCUUUGAUUUGUCGUGUGUGUGGAAAUUAUGUAAGAAGCAGAAAUGUGUCAAAAAAGACGGCUUCCAAAUAUAACUUUUGAGCAAAUUAGAAAAUGUGAGUGCCAUUGUUAACACGAAUAAGCCUGUACAUAAAGCGGCUAUAAGUUGUAGUGGCUACAUAAAAUGUCAUGCUUCAGGCUUCAUUGUUCAAGCUAUAGCUAUGGCACGCGUAUUUCAUGCAUUUAUGGUAUAACUAUAAGAAGUACUUGAAAUUUUGCAGUAUUUGUAUUAAUCUUUUACGACAUAGAAUUUCAAAAUUCGAGAUACUUUGUUGAAAAGAAGCAAGCUGGCACCGCCCUUCUAGAUGGGGUUGCCAGUCAUUAUCAACAUUCAAAAUUCAUUCAAAUCUUGAAGAAAUUUAAAAAAAUAAUAUUAUUUUAUAGUCAUUUUUAGCUAUAAAAAGAGAGAUUCUCCAAGCAUCCAAAAAUUCAAUUUCUUGUGAGAGAAAGAGAGUUGAGGGAUUUUUGAAGUUUUUUAGAGUUUAGUGAGAAAUUGGGUGUAUAUGGGGCUUGAGUGAGAAAUUAUUUUCUAAGAGUGUGGCUGUAAUAAUUUUCCACAUAGUGAAUAAUUUUUUUCUGAUUGUCCUUUGACAACGGUCAUGGUUUUUCUCCGAAUUUAAAGUUUUCCACAGAAAUCUUGUGUUGUGUGAUUGGUGUAUUCUCCAUUUAAUUUUUUUUUAUUAAUUUGUUGCUCGACAAAUUGCUUGAAGUGAUCUUAGAAGGAAACUCAAUUUCCUAACACAAUCAAAAGCAAGAUAUACUUCAUGAAUAAAGAGAUAUUAACUUACCGAGGGGGAUGGGUGAGUUUAGGUUUCGAUUACUUCAUGAAUAACGUCUAAAAUAUUCUUCAAUUCAUUGAUUCCAACACAAUAUUUUACACAUUUACAAGAUUGAACUUUUAAUUUAUAUAAAAUUUUAUAAGUGAAACAUUAUGCAUAUGUUCAUCCUUUAAAAAAAAAAAAAGAAGAAGAGAGAAUCAUGUGCAAUGUUUGAAUUUUAAUUACAAAAAUUUUUAAAUUAAUUUAAAAUAUAAAAUAUAAUUGUAUCAUUGGUUCGGUAAAUGGGUUAGGAACUUUAACCCUAAUCUAACACUGAAAAAAAUCGUGUCGACCCAAACUAAUAAUCAUGUCAAAUAUGACGAUACAUACCUGUUUAUUUGUGUCAUGUUCAUAUAAGAUAGUUGGAUUAUGUCAAAUUUUGCCACCUCUAAGUAUGACAUUUGCAUUCACCUCAAGACCGCUUAUUGUCUUUCAUAUAAUAUUAAAAAAUGUGAAAUUACAGUUUUAUCUCUUUUAAAAUUUGUUUUAACUACUUAGAGGUACUUGAUUGUCUUUUAAUACCCUAUUCAUUUUUUUUUCUUAUUUACAAUUAAUAGCGUUGACCAAUUAAAAUUUAUUUAUUUAUUUAUUUUGAGAGGAAGAGAAACUUCAUUGUAAAAGAAACUACCGAAAUAUUAAUCUAAUCCUAUCAAGACCAGCCCCAAGAUCCAGACCUGAUUGAGUAAAUUAACCCUAAUAUAAAAUAUAAAGCCAAACAACAAAUAAAUCCAAGCAAACAAACAGUACAACCAGAUUUACAAGAAUCGACACCCUUAAUCCUUUCUCUUUAAUGACAGGAAACAACCAGAUUUACAAAGGAGACUUCAAUCAGUUAAAUUACGAAAUUAAUUUAAAUUGAGCAAUUACCAAUAACUUGAGUAACCAGUAACUAUCCAUAAAAAAUAUAUUAAGUGUGGAAAAGUUUCCUUUCAAAUCAAAUGACCCAUAAUAAUCUCAUUAUUGAUAGUAUAAUUCUUUUACAGCAACACUCAAAAUUCCUCAUAAAACUCUCUUCCAAUUGAAAUUACUUAUAAAUUAAUCAAUUUCUUGUUUUGAAUGGAAAUUCAGUUAGACACUUAGAUAAGUUAUUAUUUUAACAAAGUUUUUACACCAACCUCAUUUAGUAAUUAUAUUUUAAUUAAAAGAUAUUUUCUGAGAAAAUUAUAAGAAUUAAGAGUUAUGAAAAUAAAUAUAAUAUGAUAAUAAUAAAAAUUAAGAUGAACUUAGUAUUUUAGGAUUUGUAUAUAAUUUAAAAAAUAAUUUUUAAAUAAAAUUUGAUGAGAAGAUGAUUAAUUUUAAUAUACAGAUUUGUGUUUUAUUAAUUACAUUGACAGUAUUUUAAGAAAUAAAUCUAAAAGGAUUGUUGUGAGGAUUUUAGAAGGGUGUUGAAAGCUCACCCAUAAUUAAAAUUGGAGUAAGCCUUUUGACACCCUUCUAAAUUCCUUAUAAAACCCUUCUUCAGUUGAAUUACUCUCUCUAUCCAAUGCUCCUGGUUCAUUACUCAAAACAGACUCUGUGAUAUGUUGGUUGAUCUUGAUUCCGUCGUGCUACAUUGGCCAUGGACCAACUGCGAGAGUUGGGAGUAAAAUAUUAUGGCCCUUGAAGAAGAGAGCGAGACAGCAGCAGGUAAAAAGAUACAAACAGAAAGUGUAAAUGGCCCGACCCGAUUUGGUCCGAAAGCCCAUUUAAAUAAUAAUGGUAAAAUCACAUUAAAAAACUGUGAUGGUUGUAAAUCGUGGUGGAUUCUACUAAAAUAAUGCUCUCCUAUUUAUUUAUUUUUAUAAAUAAUAAUUGUGAAUAACUCCACCUUCUAAUGCCUAUAUAUACCAUUUCUUUGCUAAUGAAUGAAUACAAUUCAAUUUCUCGCUUAAGGCACUUUACUUGUUUUCUUCAAUCUUCAUUUGAGUAUUCUUUACUUAAAUAUCAUCGUUAAAUAAUUAUUUAUAUACAAUCCCUUUAAAUUAUAACAUCCAUUAUCUCCAAAUUUAUAACAGUGAUAAAAAUACUAAUAACAUAAACUGGCAAGUGUUAACAUCAAUAAACAUGUGUGUAUAUGUAUAUAUAUGCACUUUUUUCCCCAUUCUUCUUGCCUUUUUUAAAUAGAACAACAUUGGCCAUAAUUGAAUAUUGAUUUGAUAAAGAAUGAACCGAUGAUCCACAAUUCUCUCUAUUGAAAUUAACGUCUUAUGUUAAAACCAAUAGAAAAUCGGGGAGACAACCCAUUGCCAACCAAGUUUCCUUCGAUGAUAGGAUGGUCCACAAAAAAAAUGAAAAAAAAAAAAAUCAGUCGAUUCGAUAUAACGAAAUUUCGUUACGUAUAUCAUUUUGUGGUUGAAAUGAAAAGAUUUGAGAUUUCUUGUUUAUACUAAGCCAUCAUUAUAUUUAAAGAUGAACAUAAGAUAGAUCAAUAGAGAGAGAAAUAGCUAGGGAUCUCUGCAAAUCAAAGGAGCUGAAGAUUAGUUAAAAGAGUACCAAAUUAAGAUGAAUGGUGAGGUCAAGAACUCGAUGAAGGUAUGGAUUCUAGCAAUUUUAUCUUAUGUUUGAGCUGUGGUUAAUUACCACGUGCAUAGCAUCAUAAUUCCCAGAAGGACUUCUAAGGCUUCUAUCUCUCUUUUCCUGUUUCCACCUCUUCACAUCCUCCCAUUAAAUCUUCCCCCUAUACAUUUUUUUGGUGCCGCAUCCUUCUUCCUUGACAACUUCAAGCUUCUGCUUUUUGCUUUUGAGCAAAGGCCCUUUAUCUCAAGUCUCAACUCAAUAAUAAUCUUUUCCAUUUCCUAUCGAUAGCUUGUCUCCCCAUAAAAUUCAAACCAUCCUCUCCGGUUUAAUAUUUAAAGGCAGUGCUCAAAUUUUUUGGAACUUAUGAAAGGCAUUGUGACAUAGGUAGGUAGCAUUAUUGUCAACAAAUUAGUAUCUUUCUUGCAUUCAUUUGUACCACCAUUCACUAUAUUAAUUUGUCAAUCAAGCAGCCCUUAAUUUAUUUUCAGCUUAUAACAUAUGGUGGAGGUUUGUCACACCAUUCGCUCUAUAUUAAUUGAAUUAUUAACGUGUGAUUUUGGAUCAUAUCAUCUUCAUUAUGCAGUGGGUUACGCUUACGCAAUGUUUCACAUCAUCUGCAGGAGUAGGAUUUCACUUUUGUGUCACAAUGUAGAACUAAUUUUAGGACCAAUUUGGUAAUAUUGUAAAUUUUAAAAUAAUUAUUAUUAUAUGUGUUAAAGAAAUAAUCACUUGUGAAAGGAAUUAGUUAAAUUUUUGAUAAAAUUUAUUUUUGAAUGUGUUGUAAGUUUUAAGAACAGUCAUAUAUGUUUGGUAAAUCUUACUAUUAAAUCGUUAUAAAAGUGUAAAUAACUAAAUUAAAUAUAACAUUGAAUGCAAUUUAUUUACACAUUUAUAAACAUGUAUAUAAAUUUUUUUAUUAUGUAUAUAUAAUAAUUGAUAACUAAAAUAAAAUUUAUAUUAUUAAAUUUAUUUUUAUUUUGUUAUCUCAAAAUAAUAAUAAUAAUAAUAAUCUAUCUAAGGUUAAUGAUUUUAUUUCUUAAUUAAUAAAGAUAAUUUUAAAUUUUUAUAAUAAAUAUGAGGGUAUAUAUAAACUUAUAUUAAAUACAAAAUUGAUUCUCAAAAUUAAAUUUUAAAAAAAAUCUUUACUUUUCAAAAUCUACUGUAAAAUAGAGAGAUUUUACUAAAAAAUGAUUUCUAAAAAAUUACCAAAAUAUCGAAAUUAACUUUUUUUUAAAAAAAAUUCACUUUUAAACCUCUAAAAAAUAGUUUCAAACAAGUAAUUAGUAUCAAAAUAAAUUAAAGUAAGAGUGGAGCUAUUGGCACCACAUUAUUAAUCUCUUAAAACCCUUUUUCUAUACAUACGCAUAAAAUAAUUUAAAAUAUGAUAUUACUUGUAUUAACACCAAAAUCCACAAAUAACCCUAUUCGUUUUUGCCUAAACCAUUGAUAUGUCAAAUCUCAAAUAUCACAUCAAUUAAAUAAAUUUGUCUCCCAACUCAUUUUCACUAGUAGCUACAUUCAUUAAAAUUUGUCAACUACUCAAAACUUCUCAUAUGAGUUUCACAAUAUCAAAAGCACAUGGCGACAAAGAAGAAAGUUCAGGAUAUUGUAUUGGUAGAAAUAUUUGAGUGAUCUGAUAAGAAAACUGCAAAUGGCUAUAAUGAGUUCUAAACUUUUCUUUAAAAAAAAAAAAAGAAUUCUAAACUUAAUAACUAUAUCACACAUUUGUCAGUCUGUAAAUUCAACAAAUUUUUUUUAAAUUGAACUGCAAUUUUGCCAUGGAUAAAGACAAAUUCUUGAGAAGUAAUAAUUGUAGGAGGUGUUAAUGACGGAUCCUAAUCAUUGUAGAAAAUGGUUCAUUGAUUAAAAAAAAAUUAAAUAGCUAGCAAUAUAAUUAAAAUAGCGACAUAAUAAUAUAAUUAGUUUUGAGAAACUAUUCUGAAGUUAUUUUACUUGUUUUAUGUUGGUGUCUAAAAUAGGGAUACUGUAAAAAGUUCCGUUAGAAUGUUAACAUCACUAGUACUCUUAGGGUGUGUUUGGUUGUUGUAUUAUAACUCCUCAUUGCAUUAGCUUUAUACAAGCCCAUGUUUGGUAAGUUAAAAACUACAUAAAACAUUGCAUAAUGGGCCUAGCUAAUGCGGCAAACUGCCGCUUCUUGUUUUUUUUGUUUUUUUUCUUUUUCGUUUCCAACUUUUCAGUUUUUGCUAACUUUUGUUUUUACUUUAAUUUUUUUUUGCUUUUUGUUUCCAACUUUUCAGCUUUUGCAAACUUUUGCUUUUACUUUAAUUUUAUAAUAAUAAUAAUAAUAAAUAUUAUUUUUUAAUUUAAUAAUAAUAUUAAUAUUAAUAUAAAAUAUUAAUACAAUUUAAAUAUAUUAAUAUAAUAUAAUAUAAUAUUUAAUUUAAAUUAAUCAAAAAAAUUAUUACAUAUAUUAAUAUAAUAUAAUAUUUAAUUUAAAUUAAUCAAAACAAUUAUUACAGUACAGUGUAGUACCAAACAUUGUACAGUAUUAUUAUAAUAUAAUGCUAAUAUAAUACAACAUAAUAUAAUAUACCAAUAUUAAAAUAAUACAAUACAACAUAAUACAAUACGUGUACCAAACACACGUGUUUGGUUGUAGUAUUAAGGGGAUAUUAAAUUACUAUUUACAUUAAGUUAAUACUUAUACCGUGUUUGGGAGAAUAUCACAUGGGUUAAGGACACUGUAAGCUAAUGGGGCAGUUGCCGCAUUAGCUUACCUUCUUUCUUUUUUUUUUUUUCCUUCUUCUUUCUUUUCCAUUUACUUUUUACUUUAACUUUUGUUUUUGCUUAUAAUAAUAAUAAAAAAUAAAGAUAAUUUUUUAAUUUAAUAUAAUAUUAUAUAAUAAUUUUAUUUUUAAAUUAUAAUUUAAUAUAAAUUAAUAAAUAUAUAAUUUUUUAUUCAAUAAUAUUAUAUUAAUGUAGUGCCAAACAUUACACAGUAUUAUUAUAAUACAAUACUAAUACAAUACAGCAUAAUAUAAUACAUCAGUAUUAAAAUAAUACAAUACAGUGUGCCAAAUGCACCCUUAUUUCAUACAUUGCUUUAAUGUAAUUUUAACUGAGGGCAAAAGUAUAAAUUACACUCUUAAAAUAAACGGGUGCUAAUAGCUCAACUCUUAUAGAAUAAAAGAUUUUGGUUUAUUUUAGUUUUUAGGUGGAAACUGGAAGCUUCAUUUUGAUUAACAUCUCGUAUUAAAAAAUAUCAAUAGCUGGUUCAAUUUGAGUUUGACAAUAUAAAAAAAAAAAAAUUUGUCAGUUAAUAUUUAACAUUUCAACUCCGGUUAGCAUCCAUAAAUAUAGGGUAUAUAUAUUUCUUUUUUGGGAAAUUAUCAAUUAUGUACCCUUAAUUUACCCUUAGUUUAUUUCGUUAUCAAAUUUACUAUAACACUUUCAGGAUAUAUCAGUCGUCUAUCUUAAAUUGAUAAAAUUUAUCUGCCAUCCACCAAACCGUUAAUUUUCAUUUAAAUACGAUGAUGUUAGAGGGGUAAUUUGAUCUUUUUUAUAUGAUAUAAGUGAUAAUUUAAGGGUAUAUAAAUAAUAAAUAGAUAUUUUAAAGGUAUACAAAUGAUAAUUUUUAAAAAUAAAAUAAUCAAUUCGCUACAAUUUCGUUAAUUUUUAAACAACAACUAACGAUUUAGUAGUUGACAUAUAUCUUUUGUCAAUUUAAAAUAGACAAUUAAUACAUCCUUAAAAUAUUAUAUGAUAUUUUUAAUAAAAAUAUAAAUUUAUGAUAUACGAAUAAUAAUUUCCCUUAUUUUUUUCCUUUUCCUUUUCAAAUUGAAUAAUAUUAGCCAUAAUUAAAUAUUGGCCUUGGCAAAGCAGGAUCGGCAUUUUAGUAAAAAGAAAACAUUGAGAUCCCCCUUUUCGAUAUUAAAACAAGCAUUAGAUUUAAAAGAAGAAGAUCAAGAGAGAGAGAGGAAUAGCUAGGGAUCUCUGCAAAUCAAAGAAGCUGAAGAACAAUUAGAGAGUAGCAGAGAUGGGUGGCGAGCUCAAGAACUUGAUCAAGGUAUGGAUUCUAGCAAUUUCAUGUUUGAGUUAUUGUUACCUGAUAGCAUCAAAAUUCCCGAAAGGACUUUUAAGGCUCAUCUCUCUCUUUCCCGUCUUCUACCUCUUCAUCAUCCUCCCUCUAAAUCUUUCCUCCAUACAUUUUUGUGGCGUCACAUCCUUCUUCCUUGUUUGGCUUGCCAACUUCAAACUCCUGCUUUUCGCUUUUGACCAAGGCCCUUUGUCAUCUCAACUCCAUCAUAAACUUUUCCAUUUCAUAUUGGUAGCCUGUCUCCCGAUAAAAUUCAAACCAAACCCGCCUCAAGGUAUUGUUACAAAGCCUCAUCAACAAAGCACCCAAAAAUCAUAUCAAGUGCCGUUAAAGUCACUUUUACUUGUAACAAAGUUGUUACUUCUAUUGUCAAUAUUUUAUGCUUAUGAAUAUAGACAGCAUCUACACCAAUACGUGGUCUUAGCCCUAUAUUGUUGCCACGUUUAUCUUGAGCUAGAACUGAUCCUAGCCUUGUGUUCAACCCCGGCUCGGGUCCUUGGCUUUGCGCUCGAGCCACAAUUCAAUGAACCCUAUCUAGCCACCUCACUGCAGGACUUCUGGGGCCGUAGAUGGAACCUAAUGGUCACAAGUAUCCUACGUCCCACCGUAUACGAUCCGGUACAAUAUAUUUGUAGACGUAAUAAAGUCGGGCACAUGUGGCCGCAAUUGUUGGGUGUCGUUGCCACUUUUAUUGUGUCGGGACUAAUGCACGAGGUAAUUUAUUAUUAUCUAACACGUGUGCCACCCUCGUGGGAGGUGACGUGGUUUUUUGUCCUUCAUGGGGUAUGUGUAGCUAUCGAGGUUUGGCUCAAGAAGAAGUUGAUCAAGCGAUGUGGCCGGCUGCCCCGGGCAGUUUCAGGAGCUUUAGUGUUGAUAUUUGUGGCGGCAACCGGUUUGUGGCUGUUCUUCGCCCAAAUAUUCAGAAACAAAUUGGAGGAAAAGGUCAUAACGGAGGUCUUCUUUUCUUUAGAUUUUGUAAGAAGCAUUAUGACGUAACUUGCUGCUUUAGUGACAGGACAAGUCCUGUUUGUUUUGACCACUAGCUAGCAAUUGUAUCCCUAAUCCUUAUCUGAAAUUAACUUGCUUUAAUUAUUCUUUUCAUUUCUGUUUCAUCUAUGCUAUAGUUCAAAAUGCUUAUCUCUAAUCUCUAUAGCCAUUUUAGGAAAUUAUACAAUUAGAGUUCGGCAAGAACCCAAAAGAGGAAAAAAAUAAAAUAAAAAGUCUUCCAAAUCCAACUUUUGACCCGAAAAGAAUUUUAAAAAGUUAAAAAAAAAACUUUUGAUAAUUCUUUGAAUAUCGUAACUUAAACUUUGUUGACUACCUCGAUUAUAAUUGCUUUUUAAUAAAUAAAAAAAAGUAUUUUAGACGAAGAUCAGUCACCACGCAAAAUAAUUAGUUAUCAUGUUCAAUCCCAAGUUUUGUUUCUAAAUUUCAAAUACAAUUCUGUGUAAAUGUGUUAGAAUCAUGAAGAAGCAUGUUGCCUGUGAUCCUUACUUAGAACUAAACCAUGCUAAAAUCAAAAGAACUUAAAAAUUGAAUCGAUGAGCUGCAAUGCAAAUGGCAAAAGAAGGCCCAAAAAAGUGGAUGGAGAGCCGAAAAAAUUUUAAUUAAUGUAUGCGUUACAAAUUUGAGUUAUUAUUACUACUUACAUAUUAAGACCUUAUAUGGGAUUGAUGUUGGGUACCGUAGCUUAAAAGUUAGGUAUAAUAUUAAAAUAUUUAGUAAAUAGUAGUUAUUAUAAUUUAAAAGUUAAGUUGAUUUGAUUUUUAUAAAAAAUAUAUUAUAUAUUACUUAAUUUUGUCAAAUUUAUUUUUAAAACUGUAUUUAUUAUAUAUUAUUAAUAUUUAUUUAAUAAUUAAAGUUUUUUCCUACAACAAUUGUAACUUGAAAAGUACAUCAUUUCAAUACCAAAUAAAAUCAGAAACUCCUCUUUAACAUACUCCCCAUAGUCCCCUAUUAUCUUUACUCAUUCAAUGUUCAUGUUGUCACUGCUUUUUUCCUUGUUUGGUUUGUCAAUAACUUCAAGUUUCUACUUUUUACUUUUGAUCAAGGCUAGAGGAGGAAUUAGAAUUUUGGUUCGAGAGGGGCCAUAAUAUAGAAAUCUAAAUUUGAAUCGGCUAUAACAUAACAUAAAAUUAGUUAAGUUGAGUAGGCUAACAAUUGGGAUCAUAAUAUAGAAACCAUAAACUUGUGUAGGUUGUAACAGAAACUCUGUAAACUUAAGGGGAAAUUGGUAACUUUUCAAUAAAGCCCCUAAUCAUCCAUCCGUUUAAUUUUUAAACGUUCUUUUUCAAUUAUAUUUGAUAUUAAAAUAUAAAUGUAUGAAGAAUUCAUGAAUUCAACAAUUCUUCCUAAUCUAAAAUAUUAUCUUUCAUAAGAUCUAUAGUAAUAUUAAAGAAUUAGUAAUAUAACAUACGGAAUCCUGCAAUUAAUUAAAGCUUGAACAUACAAGUUAGUUGAUAGUUUUAGAUUAAAUGGGAAGAUCUUUAAAUUUUUUUUUUUCGUUCAAAAUUAAUUAUAAUUCUUAUUUUGACACUGAAAAAGUACAAGAUACAAAAUUGCUUCUUAAUUCUUAUUUUGAUCCAAAUAUGAAAGAAUAGACAAGGCUAAAUCUUGAAACAAAAUAAUUUAAAAUUAUUUUGCCUAAGCCCUAAAAUUAUCUCAAUUGAUUAUUAACAUGUGAUGACAAUUGACCAUGAAAACACUAUUAAUUAUGUUCAUGAACAAAAUAAUUUAAAAUUAUUUAGAUGAAAUACUUCGUACUCUAUAUGAUAAAUCGUGUCUAAACUUGUUAGAUUUAUAAUCUAAAAUCAUAUUCUUGUUAAAUAUGAAAACGUGGAAGAAUAAAUACAUAGCUUUUUAAAAAAUCACGAGCUUCUCAGUUCAAAGUGAUUCUUUGUUAUCAUAGACUAAAUUAUAAUACUUAUGAUAAUUUAACAUUUAAUUUUUUAAAAUCACUUUUAAACUUCUAAAAAAAAUCUCAAAUGAGCGGUUGGUAUUGAAAUAAAUUAGAAUAAGAGUGAAGCUAUUGUCCCCCCAUUAUUAAUCUCGUAAAACCCCUUUUUUUUCUAAACAUAUCCCAUAAAAUAAUUUGAAAUAUCAUAUUACAUCUAUUAAUACCAAAAGAAUUUCCACAAAUAACCCUAUUCACUUUUGCCUAAAGGCGCAUCAAUUUGUCAAGUCUCAAAUAUUACGUAAAUUACACAAUUCUAUCUCCCAACUCCUUUUCUUUGGUAGUUACAUUCGUUAAAAUUAGUCAGUUGGUCAACCUUCUCAUAUGAGUUUGACAAUAUCAAAAAAUGCAUGGUGACAGAAGAAAACUCAACGUAUUGUAUUGGUAGAAAUAUUUUAGUGGUUUGAUAAGAAAACUGCAAAUCACUAAACAAGUUCUAAGCUUUUCUUUUUUUAAAAAAAAAAAGAAUUCUAAACUUAAUAACUACAUUAUACAUUUGUUAGUCAACAAGUUCAACAUAAAUUUUUUAAAUUGAAUUGCAAAUUUUUUAUCAGUUUCUUGAGAAGUAAUAGUUGUAGGAGGUGUUGAUGGCGGAUCCUAUCCACUGUAGAAAAUGGUUCAUUGAUUAAAAAAAAAAAAAUCAAUAGCUAGCAAUAUAAUUCAAAAUUCAUCAUAAUUGACAAACUACAUUGUAAUUAUUUUACUUGUUUUAUGAUGAUGUCCAAAAUAGGGACACGGUAAAAAGUUUUGUUAGGAUGUUAACAUCACUAGUACUCUUAUUUUAUACUGUUCUUUUUAAUGUAAUCUUAAUUGAGGGUAAUGAGGGUAAAAGUAUAGAUGUCAAAGAGGGGGUUUUGAUAGGAGAUUGAAGGGGUGCUAAUAGCUCUACUCUUAUUAUAAUUAAAGAUUCUGGUUUACAUUACGUGGAAACUGGAAGCAUCAUUUUGGUUAACAUCCCGUAUUAAAAAAUACUAAUGGCUAGUGAUCUUGGUUUUGGCACAUGCAUGGGUUAUAUAUUGUUAAUUAAUAUUUUUUUUUUUUGGAAAAAUAAUGUUAAUUAAUAUUUAGCAUUUCAACUCCGGUUAACAUCCAUAAAUAUAGUGUCUGUGUUUGUGUGUACAUUUUCAUUUUUUUUUCCUUUCAUUUAUAAAUAGAAUAAUAUCAACUUCGACAAGGCAUGAACGACAUAUUUUUGUGAAAAUGAAAAAAAAAAAAAAAGAGUGAGAACCCCUUUCUUGAUAUUAAAGCCAGUAUUAGAUUUAAAAGAUGACCACAAGGGACAUCAACGGCGAGAGGAAUAGUCAGCGAUCGAUAUCUGCAAAUCAAAGAAACUGAAGAUUAAUUAGAGAGCAGCAAGGAUGGAUGGUGAAAUCAAAAACUUGAUCAAGGUAUGGAUUGUAGCAAUUUCAUGUUUGAGCUAUUGAUACUUGAUAGCAUCAAAAUUACUGGAAGGACUUGUAGGUCAUGUUCGGUUGCAAGAAAGGAGGAGAGAGGAGAGGAAGGGAAAAGUGAGGAGGAGAAAGAAAAUGAGUAGAAAAUGAUGAAGAGAUUAAUUUCCGUUGUUCAGUUUGGCAUAUAAUUAAUAAAGGAAAGAAUUUAAUAAUUUUUAUUUAGACAAAUAUACUCUUCUAUUAAAUUUUUAAUAGUCAUUAUUAAAUAAACUAAAAAUAUGUUUAACUAUUUAAAAACCAGCCUCAAGAUUAACACUCAUUCUCAAUGUCCUGGCAACAUUUAUAUUGCCUUUAUUAAAAGUAUUUUUACACAUCAUUAUCAAAAGUGUUUUUACUAAUAAUUAUCCAAGUGCUUCUAUACAAACCACUUUUUUUUUCUUUUUCUUUCUUUUUCCAAUAAGAAACAUUAAUAUUAUUUCACAUAGAAAAGUCUAACAAAAACAAAAUAAAAAACUUAGUUAAAUUUCAAGUGUUUAAAUGAGUUAAAUUUCAUAAGUUAGACAUUAAUAAACUUAGCAUGAGUUAAAUUUUACCUCAAAGGAAAAGUCUAACCCCAUGUUUCUUUGUCCUCCUCACAAAGACUAUAAAAACAAAAAUAUAACAAAAAAUUAAAAAAACAUAACAAAAAGCUUAGUCAAAUUUCAAGUGUUCAAAUGAGUUAAAUUUCAUAAGCUGAGAAUAAAUUGGAAAAUAAUCAAGAGAAUCAUAUCAUCAUCUAUCAUAAAUGCAAUCAUGUCUAUUUAGCCUCUUAAUUUUAGGUAUACAAAACUCAAUGCAUAUACAUAGAAACUAAACCAACAUCAGAUAAAAUGAACUCAAAUUAAAUUACAGGUGGUAAAAAAACAAAAUGAGUAUCACAUCCAUUAUCCAGAAAAUGAAGUGAUAAUCCUAGUGUAUUUUAAAGAAUUUUCACAUCAUCUAUCUACUUGUUGUUUAUUACCACUAGAAAAUUAACUAUGAACCUUCUAAUAAGAAAAUGACUUCAAAGAUCAAAACACCAAAUUUUUAUACACAAAAAAAAAAAAAAAAUUAAUCAUGCAUCUAAUAAUACUUAUGGAUGCCACUACUAUAAUAAAUAAUCUAUUAUCUUACUAUUUAAAUAUCAAACAUAUUAGAAAGAGGGGAAAUAAAACAAAACAAACAUAAACAGUUUGCCAAAUACACUGAGCAAGCAGAUAUAUUAUUGUGUUUAUAUUAUUAAUCUUUGGUGAAGUUUGUGAGAUAUUCAAGUAUUCAAUAUGUUCAGAACAUGAUUACAAAACUCAUAAUUCACGAACCUCAUAGUUUACGAAAGCAGAUAAAAUUAACAAAUAAAGCAAAUAAUAAAAUUAGAAGAUCAAUAAGGAAGAAUCAAACUCUUUUUAACUGCACCCGGUUUUUCAUUUCAUCAAACACCUUUAGAAGCUAGUUGGUUCCUUAACCCAAAAACAUAAAUAAAUAAAUAAAUAAACAAGCAGAAAGAAUUAGAAAAGCAUCAUCAAUAGCAAGUAUGUGUGGAGAAGAAAAUUUAUUAGAACAUUAAAUUUAUGUUAUUUUGAAACUUCAAACAAUUUAAUGAAUCUUCUUCAUUAACUUCAGCAUAUACAAAAUUAAAAAACACCCCACAAAAUGUUUAGGUAGCAAUUAAUUAAAUAAAUAACAACAACAACAAAGUAACAGCUCAUACAGCAGGAAAUGUACCUAAUGAAAAUCAAUAUUGACAACUUGGAAAGCUCUAUACGAAGCUUUUUUAACACAAAAUAAAAUAAUUUUGAGCAAAACAGAGGGAAAGAGAAAGUUGACAGUUUUUUUUUUUUUUGUUUUGAUCACGAGGUAUCUUGAAGAGGGCUCCAACUGUGGGAGGCAUCUUUAAGCCCGUACCACAACCCAGACUAGAAGUCCCCGCUCGAACCGAGAGGCACAGGUUCUCCCAACAAAGGCGAUUUCCCUGCGACUCGAACCGGGGAGCAAACUCAAUUAAGUCACUUAAGGGAACUCCAUUGUCAGUAGAGCCAACACUUUGUUAGUAGAGAAAGUUGACAAUUAUCAUGACAUAAACACAUCAUGGAACAAACAUUUUACAGCAGAUCAAUUUCGAAAUCAUCGUAACCCUUACGAAAAAUUAAUUUCAAAGUUAUACAUGCAUGCAUAUGUCUGACUAAUUAAUUUCAAAGUUAUACAUGCAUGCAUGUCUGACUAACAGGACAUGAAUAUUUUUCAACACAUAGCUUGUUUUACCUAACAAGAUUUUCUGACCAUUAAAAAAAUCUAUAACACGGCUCAUGAUUCCAUUAACAAAUGAUUCUAUAGCAGUGAAGACCAUCACACAAAAGCGGAAGCACAAUCGAUUUUACCAAACCAAACCCACAAACAAAAGCAAAAGCAAGAUGAAAUGAACACAUCAUGGAACAAAAAGCCUAUAACACAUUGAUUUCGAAAUCACCGUAACCUUUACAAAAUCAAAUGCUAUUAAUCAUAAUUUCAUAGAUACAAUCGAACCAAAAAAUCAACAUUAAAUGUUAUUUACGCAUGACCUUGAAAAUUGGAUCAUCAAUGAGAGAGCCUAACUUGCAAAUUGAAAGAUAGAUAGAGAGAUUGAAUCUGCGAUUGCUAUUGAAGCUGAAAGUGAAGAUCAAAAGCUGAAACUGAGACUGUAAGCAAGAUGAUGAGAUGCUGCUGAAGCUGUGAAUGGUCUCUAACACUCAAAAGUUGCACAUGCGCUCUUUAUUGCCGGUGAAAGCCAUCGAAAGUUCAGAGAAUCCAUCGAUUUUAAGUGAGAUUUGAUCAACAUUUGAAGAAAGUGAUUAGGGACUUUUUAGGAAUCAUUUUAGAUUUAUUUAGGAAUUAAAUUAGAAAAUCAAAAUUCAAUAAGAGUAAAAGAGGAAAACAAAUCUUUUUAAUGAUGUGGAAUUCGAAUUUCCCUACUCUUCAACAAAGAAAUCGAAUUCCUUAAAUAACAGAAAGUGGGUACAGAAUGAAACUUAAUUCCCUAUUCACUUUUACUAACUAAACAAAGGAAAUUACAGAGGAAAGGGAAAAUCUCUCUUUUCCUCCCUUAAAUUCAUGGAACCGAACAUGCUUUAAGGCUUAUCUCUCUCUUUCAUGUCUUCUGCCUCUUCCUCAUACUACCUUCAAAUCUUUCCUCCAAACAUUUUUGUGGCGUCGCAUCCUUCUUCCUUGUUUGGCCUGCCAACUUCAAGCUUCUGCUUUUCGCUUUUGACCAAUUUGUGAAUAUUUGUAGUGGCAACCGGUUUAUGGUUGUUUUUCACUCAAAUAUGUAUUCAGAAACAAAUGGGAGGAAAAGGCCAUAACCGAGGUCUUCUUUUCAACCAAGUAAUUAUAACGUCACUUGCCACUUCAGUGACACAACAAGCGGUGUUUGUUUUGAGCAAGCUCACUCUUUCAGCCAAGUAAUUUUAUCUUUAGGGUGCGUUUGAGAUUGAGGUUGGACAGCUGUAAUUUUUAAACUACAGUAUUAAAGUGUUUGAUAAACAUUAGCUGUUGUAGCUUGUAAACUAUGUUGUUAUGAUUUUUCACUUGUAUAAUGAAAAAUUUAUUACAUCUUUAAUAAUUCAAAAUUAUUAUUUAAAAUUCAUAUUUACUACAUAUUAUUAACUUUUGUUUGAUAGUUACAGUUUUUUUUUCCACAAAGUUACAGCACCUCAAUCCUAAAUAGGGUGUUAAUCCUUAUCUUAAAUUAACUUGCUUUAAUUAUUCUUUUCAUUUCUGUUUUCAUCUAUCCUAUAGUUAAAAAUGUCUAAUCUCUAAUCUCUAUAACCAUUUGAGGAAAUUAUACAAUUAGAGAGUUCGGCAAGAAGUCCAAAAGAGGGGAAAAAAAAGAAAUGGCCUUCGAGUCCAAUUUUAGACCCAAAAACAAUUUAAAAAGUAAAAAAAAAUGAUAAUUCUUUAAAUAUCAUAGCUUAAACUUUGUUGACCACCUCGAUUACAAUUACUUUUUAUUUUAAAAAAAAAUUCUACAUGAAGAUCAGUCACCAAUUAACCAUGAAAACACUAUCAAUUAUGUUCAUUAACAAAAUAAUUUAAAAUUACUUAGAUGAAAUAUUUCGUACUCUAUAAGAUAAAUCGUGUCUAAACUUAUUAGGUUUAUAAUCUAAAACCUUACUCUUAUUAAAUAUGAAAAGGUAGAAGAAUAAGUACAUAACCUUUUAGAAAAUCACGAGCUUCUCAGUUCAGUGUGAUUCCUUAUUAUCAUAGACUAAAAUAUGUUACUUAUUCAAAUUAAAAAAAAGUCUAUUAGCCAUUCAAAAAAAAAAAAAAGUCUAUUAAAAUUUAAUGAGAUGCAUUCAGCGGAUUUGAACUCUUUUUUAUUUAUUGAAUUGUUAUUUUAAGUUAUUAAAAUAAUUCAUAAAAAGAAUGGUUCUCAACUUCCAAUAACUCUAUAUAUAACCCUCCCCUUAACCCCAUAAUAAAUCACCUCCUUCGAAAUCCAUUUUUCCCUCCUCCUCAAGCUUCUUCGUUAUAUUGAGUAAAAAAUAAAAAUAUUUUAUUCUAAUUAAGGCUUUUGAAUGAAAUGUGGGUUAAGGCCCAAAAGAGACAAAAAAGGCCAGGCUCGGCCCAUUAAUAUUUGCCCCAAAUUUCAUCCAUUAGGGCUCAAAUUUCCAGCUUUAUCACCUGCACCACCACUACCAAGAGACAGAGAAAUUGAGAGCAAACGAGAGAGAGGGAGGAGAGAUUGAAGGACUCAUUUGAUCUGCUCCGUCACCAACUCGAUCUAUUAUUUAUCAAGGUUCAAUUUCAUUUUGUUUUUCUACUUAAUUUAUGAUAAACGGUUGCCCACUUUUUCUUUUCAAUGUUUAAAAAGGGUCUCUUUUAGCUUAAUUUUUGCAUUAUUUGUUAGGUUUUGUUGUUCCCCUCAUCUGAGUUUCUGUUAAUUAUUUCUAUUUAUUUUGUAAAAGCUUUUGCUUCUAGCUUCAGUUUCUGAGUGUGCUCCUCUUUUUUUUUUUGGUGGGCGGCGUUCUGGUUGUUUCUAGUCCGGAAAUUAGUUUUUAUUUUCGAGAAAAAAAUUUGUAUUUUUAAAUGUUAUCAUGCUUUGUUUGCAUUGAAUUUGGUUAAUUGGCAGCUAGUAGUUGCCAAAGCUCGGACAAAAUAGAGCCCAUGAAUUUGUUUGAUUUUGAUGACUUUUCUUUAACAUUUAUUAACUGAUAUGUUUAGCUCAUUGUUAUUUAAUUUAGGUCUGUAAUAGAAAAAUUGUCCUUAUUGUAAUGGAUUACUUCUCAUCGAAGCAAAGCCCCCUUUUUCCUGAUUGGGUGGUAGUGUUUGGUUUUUAAUUUUCAGCCAUGUUGUAGUUUUUCUCUGGAAAGUCAGUAGAGUGCCAUCCUCAGGAAGAAUUGACGUACAUUUGGCUUCCUUAGCAUUGUUUUUGUUGAUUAUGGUGACUUAUUUGUUGAAUUUGACAUCAUCAUGGUUAGUGCUGGAUAUCUCAAAUAUUUUCAUUCAACAUUGAAUGUUGAGAAUAUUUUCUUGUAAUAAUAAUAGUGUUAAACUGCUUCAAAUGUGUAUUAACUGUAAUUUCGGUACUCUUAUAUUUGUCAGAAACUGGUGUCAUAUACAUGCCAACAUAGUAAGUGGUGGAAUAAUGGCUGUUGAAGCUUCUUCUAAACCAAGCAGGGUCUACGAUUUUGAUGAUGACGAAGAUGGUCCAGCAGUUUUUAAGCGGAAUACUGCUGCUUCUAGGCAAAACCUAGCAAACCCAGAAGUCAAAAGGCCAUCGUCAUCCACAGCCAAUGGUCAAAACUCUAAUGCCCCAAAGGAUAAGACAACAGUUUCAUCUUCCAAGGUGUUGCCAGUGAAAUCUCCUCCACCAAGCCAGAAAGCGACUACCUCAUCUGCCAAGGCAUCACCGUCGAAGUCACCUAUGAGGUCACCUGUAAAGUCACCUGUGAGGUCACCUGUGAAGUCACCAGUGGCUUUUCAACUCCGGUUAACAUCCAUAAAUAUAGUGUCUGUGUUUGUGUGUACAUUUUCAUUUUUUUUUCCUUUCAUUUAUAAAUAGAAUAAUAUCAACUUCGACAAGGCAUGAACGACAUAUUUUUGUGAAAAUGAAAAAAAAAAAAAAAGAGUGAGAACCCCUUUCUUGAUAUUAAAGCCAGUAUUAGAUUUAAAAGAUGACCACAAGGGACAUCAACGGCGAGAGGAAUAGUCAGCGAUCGAUAUCUGCAAAUCAAAGAAACUGAAGAUUAAUUAGAGAGCAGCAAGGAUGGAUGGUGAAAUCAAAAACUUGAUCAAGGUAUGGAUUGUAGCAAUUUCAUGUUUGAGCUAUUGAUACUUGAUAGCAUCAAAAUUACUGGAAGGACUUGUAGGUCAUGUUCGGUUGCAAGAAAGGAGGAGAGAGGAGAGGAAGGGAAAAGUGAGGAGGAGAAAGAAAAUGAGUAGAAAAUGAUGAAGAGAUUAAUUUCCGUUGUUCAGUUUGGCAUAUAAUUAAUAAAGGAAAGAAUUUAAUAAUUUUUAUUUAGACAAAUAUACUCUUCUAUUAAAUUUUUAAUAGUCAUUAUUAAAUAAACUAAAAAUAUGUUUAACUAUUUAAAAACCAGCCUCAAGAUUAACACUCAUUCUCAAUGUCCUGGCAACAUUUAUAUUGCCUUUAUUAAAAGUAUUUUUACACAUCAUUAUCAAAAGUGUUUUUACUAAUAAUUAUCCAAGUGCUUCUAUACAAACCACUUUUUUUUUCUUUUUCUUUCUUUUUCCAAUAAGAAACAUUAAUAUUAUUUCACAUAGAAAAGUCUAACAAAAACAAAAUAAAAAACUUAGUUAAAUUUCAAGUGUUUAAAUGAGUUAAAUUUCAUAAGUUAGACAUUAAUAAACUUAGCAUGAGUUAAAUUUUACCUCAAAGGAAAAGUCUAACCCCAUGUUUCUUUGUCCUCCUCACAAAGACUAUAAAAACAAAAAUAUAACAAAAAAUUAAAAAAACAUAACAAAAAGCUUAGUCAAAUUUCAAGUGUUCAAAUGAGUUAAAUUUCAUAAGCUGAGAAUAAAUUGGAAAAUAAUCAAGAGAAUCAUAUCAUCAUCUAUCAUAAAUGCAAUCAUGUCUAUUUAGCCUCUUAAUUUUAGGUAUACAAAACUCAAUGCAUAUACAUAGAAACUAAACCAACAUCAGAUAAAAUGAACUCAAAUUAAAUUACAGGUGGUAAAAAAACAAAAUGAGUAUCACAUCCAUUAUCCAGAAAAUGAAGUGAUAAUCCUAGUGUAUUUUAAAGAAUUUUCACAUCAUCUAUCUACUUGUUGUUUAUUACCACUAGAAAAUUAACUAUGAACCUUCUAAUAAGAAAAUGACUUCAAAGAUCAAAACACCAAAUUUUUAUACACAAAAAAAAAAAAAAAAUUAAUCAUGCAUCUAAUAAUACUUAUGGAUGCCACUACUAUAAUAAAUAAUCUAUUAUCUUACUAUUUAAAUAUCAAACAUAUUAGAAAGAGGGGAAAUAAAACAAAACAAACAUAAACAGUUUGCCAAAUACACUGAGCAAGCAGAUAUAUUAUUGUGUUUAUAUUAUUAAUCUUUGGUGAAGUUUGUGAGAUAUUCAAGUAUUCAAUAUGUUCAGAACAUGAUUACAAAACUCAUAAUUCACGAACCUCAUAGUUUACGAAAGCAGAUAAAAUUAACAAAUAAAGCAAAUAAUAAAAUUAGAAGAUCAAUAAGGAAGAAUCAAACUCUUUUUAACUGCACCCGGUUUUUCAUUUCAUCAAACACCUUUAGAAGCUAGUUGGUUCCUUAACCCAAAAACAUAAAUAAAUAAAUAAAUAAACAAGCAGAAAGAAUUAGAAAAGCAUCAUCAAUAGCAAGUAUGUGUGGAGAAGAAAAUUUAUUAGAACAUUAAAUUUAUGUUAUUUUGAAACUUCAAACAAUUUAAUGAAUCUUCUUCAUUAACUUCAGCAUAUACAAAAUUAAAAAACACCCCACAAAAUGUUUAGGUAGCAAUUAAUUAAAUAAAUAACAACAACAACAAAGUAACAGCUCAUACAGCAGGAAAUGUACCUAAUGAAAAUCAAUAUUGACAACUUGGAAAGCUCUAUACGAAGCUUUUUUAACACAAAAUAAAAUAAUUUUGAGCAAAACAGAGGGAAAGAGAAAGUUGACAGUUUUUUUUUUUUUUGUUUUGAUCACGAGGUAUCUUGAAGAGGGCUCCAACUGUGGGAGGCAUCUUUAAGCCCGUACCACAACCCAGACUAGAAGUCCCCGCUCGAACCGAGAGGCACAGGUUCUCCCAACAAAGGCGAUUUCCCUGCGACUCGAACCGGGGAGCAAACUCAAUUAAGUCACUUAAGGGAACUCCAUUGUCAGUAGAGCCAACACUUUGUUAGUAGAGAAAGUUGACAAUUAUCAUGACAUAAACACAUCAUGGAACAAACAUUUUACAGCAGAUCAAUUUCGAAAUCAUCGUAACCCUUACGAAAAAUUAAUUUCAAAGUUAUACAUGCAUGCAUAUGUCUGACUAAUUAAUUUCAAAGUUAUACAUGCAUGCAUGUCUGACUAACAGGACAUGAAUAUUUUUCAACACAUAGCUUGUUUUACCUAACAAGAUUUUCUGACCAUUAAAAAAAUCUAUAACACGGCUCAUGAUUCCAUUAACAAAUGAUUCUAUAGCAGUGAAGACCAUCACACAAAAGCGGAAGCACAAUCGAUUUUACCAAACCAAACCCACAAACAAAAGCAAAAGCAAGAUGAAAUGAACACAUCAUGGAACAAAAAGCCUAUAACACAUUGAUUUCGAAAUCACCGUAACCUUUACAAAAUCAAAUGCUAUUAAUCAUAAUUUCAUAGAUACAAUCGAACCAAAAAAUCAACAUUAAAUGUUAUUUACGCAUGACCUUGAAAAUUGGAUCAUCAAUGAGAGAGCCUAACUUGCAAAUUGAAAGAUAGAUAGAGAGAUUGAAUCUGCGAUUGCUAUUGAAGCUGAAAGUGAAGAUCAAAAGCUGAAACUGAGACUGUAAGCAAGAUGAUGAGAUGCUGCUGAAGCUGUGAAUGGUCUCUAACACUCAAAAGUUGCACAUGCGCUCUUUAUUGCCGGUGAAAGCCAUCGAAAGUUCAGAGAAUCCAUCGAUUUUAAGUGAGAUUUGAUCAACAUUUGAAGAAAGUGAUUAGGGACUUUUUAGGAAUCAUUUUAGAUUUAUUUAGGAAUUAAAUUAGAAAAUCAAAAUUCAAUAAGAGUAAAAGAGGAAAACAAAUCUUUUUAAUGAUGUGGAAUUCGAAUUUCCCUACUCUUCAACAAAGAAAUCGAAUUCCUUAAAUAACAGAAAGUGGGUACAGAAUGAAACUUAAUUCCCUAUUCACUUUUACUAACUAAACAAAGGAAAUUACAGAGGAAAGGGAAAAUCUCUCUUUUCCUCCCUUAAAUUCAUGGAACCGAACAUGCUUUAAGGCUUAUCUCUCUCUUUCAUGUCUUCUGCCUCUUCCUCAUACUACCUUCAAAUCUUUCCUCCAAACAUUUUUGUGGCGUCGCAUCCUUCUUCCUUGUUUGGCCUGCCAACUUCAAGCUUCUGCUUUUCGCUUUUGACCAAUUUGUGAAUAUUUGUAGUGGCAACCGGUUUAUGGUUGUUUUUCACUCAAAUAUGUAUUCAGAAACAAAUGGGAGGAAAAGGCCAUAACCGAGGUCUUCUUUUCAACCAAGUAAUUAUAACGUCACUUGCCACUUCAGUGACACAACAAGCGGUGUUUGUUUUGAGCAAGCUCACUCUUUCAGCCAAGUAAUUUUAUCUUUAGGGUGCGUUUGAGAUUGAGGUUGGACAGCUGUAAUUUUUAAACUACAGUAUUAAAGUGUUUGAUAAACAUUAGCUGUUGUAGCUUGUAAACUAUGUUGUUAUGAUUUUUCACUUGUAUAAUGAAAAAUUUAUUACAUCUUUAAUAAUUCAAAAUUAUUAUUUAAAAUUCAUAUUUACUACAUAUUAUUAACUUUUGUUUGAUAGUUACAGUUUUUUUUUCCACAAAGUUACAGCACCUCAAUCCUAAAUAGGGUGUUAAUCCUUAUCUUAAAUUAACUUGCUUUAAUUAUUCUUUUCAUUUCUGUUUUCAUCUAUCCUAUAGUUAAAAAUGUCUAAUCUCUAAUCUCUAUAACCAUUUGAGGAAAUUAUACAAUUAGAGAGUUCGGCAAGAAGUCCAAAAGAGGGGAAAAAAAAGAAAUGGCCUUCGAGUCCAAUUUUAGACCCAAAAACAAUUUAAAAAGUAAAAAAAAAUGAUAAUUCUUUAAAUAUCAUAGCUUAAACUUUGUUGACCACCUCGAUUACAAUUACUUUUUAUUUUAAAAAAAAAUUCUACAUGAAGAUCAGUCACCAAUUAACCAUGAAAACACUAUCAAUUAUGUUCAUUAACAAAAUAAUUUAAAAUUACUUAGAUGAAAUAUUUCGUACUCUAUAAGAUAAAUCGUGUCUAAACUUAUUAGGUUUAUAAUCUAAAACCUUACUCUUAUUAAAUAUGAAAAGGUAGAAGAAUAAGUACAUAACCUUUUAGAAAAUCACGAGCUUCUCAGUUCAGUGUGAUUCCUUAUUAUCAUAGACUAAAAUAUGUUACUUAUUCAAAUUAAAAAAAAGUCUAUUAGCCAUUCAAAAAAAAAAAAAAGUCUAUUAAAAUUUAAUGAGAUGCAUUCAGCGGAUUUGAACUCUUUUUUAUUUAAGUCUAUUAAAAUUUAAUGAGAUGCAUUCAGUCUAUUAAAAUUUAAUGAGAUGCAUUCAGCGGAUUUGAACUCUUUUUUAUUUAUUGAAUUGUUAUUUUAAGUUAUUAAAAUAAUUCAUAAAAAGAAUGGUUCUCAACUUCCAAUAACUCUAUAUAUAACCCUCCCCUUAACCCCAUAAUAAAUCACCUCCUUCGAAAUCCAUUUUUCCCUCCUCCUCAAGCUUCUUCGUUAUAUUGAGUAAAAAAUAAAAAUAUUUUAUUCUAAUUAAGGCUUUUGAAUGAAAUGUGGGUUAAGGCCCAAAAGAGACAAAAAAGGCCAGGCUCGGCCCAUUAAUAUUUGCCCCAAAUUUCAUCCAUUAGGGCUCAAAUUUCCAGCUUUAUCACCUGCACCACCACUACCAAGAGACAGAGAAAUUGAGAGCAAACGAGAGAGAGGGAGGAGAGAUUGAAGGACUCAUUUGAUCUGCUCCGUCACCAACUCGAUCUAUUAUUUAUCAAGGUUCAAUUUCAUUUUGUUUUUCUACUUAAUUUAUGAUAAACGGUUGCCCACUUUUUCUUUUCAAUGUUUAAAAAGGGUCUCUUUUAGCUUAAUUUUUGCAUUAUUUGUUAGGUUUUGUUGUUCCCCUCAUCUGAGUUUCUGUUAAUUAUUUCUAUUUAUUUUGUAAAAGCUUUUGCUUCUAGCUUCAGUUUCUGAGUGUGCUCCUCUUUUUUUUUUUGGUGGGCGGCGUUCUGGUUGUUUCUAGUCCGGAAAUUAGUUUUUAUUUUCGAGAAAAAAAUUUGUAUUUUUAAAUGUUAUCAUGCUUUGUUUGCAUUGAAUUUGGUUAAUUGGCAGCUAGUAGUUGCCAAAGCUCGGACAAAAUAGAGCCCAUGAAUUUGUUUGAUUUUGAUGACUUUUCUUUAACAUUUAUUAACUGAUAUGUUUAGCUCAUUGUUAUUUAAUUUAGGUCUGUAAUAGAAAAAUUGUCCUUAUUGUAAUGGAUUACUUCUCAUCGAAGCAAAGCCCCCUUUUUCCUGAUUGGGUGGUAGUGUUUGGUUUUUAAUUUUCAGCCAUGUUGUAGUUUUUCUCUGGAAAGUCAGUAGAGUGCCAUCCUCAGGAAGAAUUGACGUACAUUUGGCUUCCUUAGCAUUGUUUUUGUUGAUUAUGGUGACUUAUUUGUUGAAUUUGACAUCAUCAUGGUUAGUGCUGGAUAUCUCAAAUAUUUUCAUUCAACAUUGAAUGUUGAGAAUAUUUUCUUGUAAUAAUAAUAGUGUUAAACUGCUUCAAAUGUGUAUUAACUGUAAUUUCGGUACUCUUAUAUUUGUCAGAAACUGGUGUCAUAUACAUGCCAACAUAGUAAGUGGUGGAAUAAUGGCUGUUGAAGCUUCUUCUAAACCAAGCAGGGUCUACGAUUUUGAUGAUGACGAAGAUGGUCCAGCAGUUUUUAAGCGGAAUACUGCUGCUUCUAGGCAAAACCUAGCAAACCCAGAAGUCAAAAGGCCAUCGUCAUCCACAGCCAAUGGUCAAAACUCUAAUGCCCCAAAGGAUAAGACAACAGUUUCAUCUUCCAAGGUGUUGCCAGUGAAAUCUCCUCCACCAAGCCAGAAAGCGACUACCUCAUCUGCCAAGGCAUCACCGUCGAAGUCACCUAUGAGGUCACCUGUAAAGUCACCUGUGAGGUCACCUGUGAAGUCACCAGUGGCUAAUUCAAAAGAAUCAAGUCCUUUAGAUGAUAGGUUAAAACAAUCGCCGCAGCACAAUGCGCUGGCUGUUGUGAAGAAGGAAGAAAUUAAGGAUGGCAAUGGCUUGAAAAGUGAUGACAAUGAUUCUGAGGAUGACAAACCAUUGAGUGCUAGGCUUAAGGGUAACAGCAAAAAUGUCAACCAA
rnacentral:lncRNA from 1 species